UACGGGAGGCAGCAGUGGGGAAUAUUGCACAAUGGGCGCAAGCCUGAUGCAGCCAUGCCGCGUGUAUGAAAAAGGCCUUCGGGUUGUAAAGUACUUUCAGUCGUGAGGAAGGUGUUAAGGUUAAUAACCUUAGCAAUUGACGUUAGCGACAGAAGAAGCACCGGCUAACUCCGUGCCAGCAGCCGCGGUAAUACGGAGGGUGCGAGCGUUAAUCGGAAUUACUGGGCGUAAAGGGCACGCAGGCGGUUAAUUAAGUUGGAUGUGAAAUCCCCGGGCUUAACCUGGGAAUGGCAUUCAAGACUGGUUAGCUAGAGUCUUGUAGAGGGGGUUAGAAUUCCAUGUGUAGCGGUGAAAUGCGUAGAGAUGUGGAGGAAUACCGGUGGCGAAGGCGGCCCCUGGACAAAGACUGACGCUCAUGUGCGAAAGCGUGGGGAGCAAACGAGGGAUUAGAU
rnacentral:rRNA from 1 species